rnacentral:rRNA from 1 species
UACGGAGGGUGCGAGCGUUGUCCGGAAUCACUGGGCGUAAAGGGCGCGUAGGUGGCGCGGAAAGUCAACGGUGAAAGCUUGGGGCUCAACCCCGAGUCGGCCGUCGAUACUUCUGGGCUUGAGCACUGUAGAGGCAGGUGGAAUUCCGGGUGUAGCGGUGGAAUGCGUAGAGAUCCGGAAGAACACCGGUGGCGAAGGCGGCAUCCUGGACCGGCAUUGACGCUGAGGCGCGAAAGCCAGGGGAGCAAAGCGGG